rnacentral:lncRNA from 1 species
UUAAAUAUUAUUAAGCUAUUAUGACUAUUAAUUGGUACAUCUAAAGAAAUAUUUUCGUGAGUAACAUCUCUAAAAGACAAAAAAUGACCAUUUAUAAUUUUUAUAUUUUUAAAUUUAAUUAUCUUUAUUAAGAAUAUUUCUUACUUUUUAAUAAAAAAAUUAUCAAUAAAAAAAAUUAAUUAUCAUGUUUUAAAAACUUACAAGUUGUCAUUAUGACUUAGUUUAUUUUUUUUAAUCAAAUCUUUAUUCU